UACGUAGGGUGCUAGCGUUGUCCGGAGUUACUGGGCGUAAAGCGCACGCAGGCGGUCUGCUAAGUUUGGAGUGACAGUUGGUGGCUUAACUGCCAAAGUGCUUCGAAAACUGACAGACUUGAGGGCUUCAGAGGGACACGGAAUUCCGGGUGGAGUGGUGAAAUGCGUAGAGAUCCGGAGGAACACCAAAGGCGAAGGCAGUGUCCUGGGGAGUACCUGACGCUCAGGUGCGAAAGCCAGGGGAGCGAACGGG
rnacentral:rRNA from 1 species